GACGAACGCUGGCGGCGUGCUUAACACAUGCAAGUCGAACGGAAAGGCCCUGCUUGCAGGGUACUCGAGUGGCGAACGGGUGAGUAACACGUGGGUGAUCUGCCCUGCACUUCGGGAUAAGCCUGGGAAACUGGGUCUAAUACCGGAUAGGAGCCAUUUUUAGUGUGAUGGUUGGAAAGUUUUUUCGGUGUAGGAUGAGCUCGCGGCCUAUCAGCUUGUUGGUGGGGUAAUGGCCUACCAAGGCGGCGACGGGUAGCCGGCCUGAGAGGGUGGACGGCCACAUUGGGACUGAGAUACGGCCCAGACUCCUACGGGAGGCAGCAGUGGGGAAUAUUGCACAAUGGGCGCAAGCCUGAUGCAGCGACGCCGCGUGGGGGAUGACGGCCUUCGGGUUGUAAACUCCUUUCGCUAGGGACGAAGCUUUUUGUGACGGUACCUAGCGAUGAAGCACCGGCUAACUACGUG
rnacentral:rRNA from 1 species